rnacentral:lncRNA from 1 species
CCCCACAGACGAGGUCUCCGGCCUGAGUUGUCGCACCUGGCGCGGAGGUCGCCCGGGGUGCCCUGGCUGGGUGAGAGAUGGCCUGGCGGGCGGAGCUUGCCAAGAAUCACAGCCAGUCCUUAAGUGGAUGGUGGGGCCCCCACUCCCGAUCGCUCCUCCCUGGACACCCGGUUACCAAAGUCAGCAAAGAAGAUGCGGUAAUCGCCGCCUGAUCUCCACAUGGUGAACACAACACUCUCACCAAUGCCUCCUUGACUGGUCAGUCUUCAGCACCGGGGGUGGGCAGGCAGGUGUUCUGUGUUUACGAGAAUUGCACAGGCUAAACACAAACAUGGAACCAGAGUUCCAGUGAGAACACCUCACUCACAGCAGCCCAGGCUGCUCGCUACCAGGUGAUGGAGCGCGCCCGGGCUGUGGGUGCCAGGGGCUGAGUGCUAGGGACUCGUCAUGAGUGGGGAUCCCCACGUUCCUGUCACUGCUGUCAAACAGAAGGUAAACAGUCUUAUGAAUGUAUUUCCUUAGGAAAACUUGUAAAAACUUUUAUUAGGAUAUCUAUUUAAUACUGAACUUUGGCCUACUUUGUGAUAGACUAUAAACAAAUUGAGGAAAUCACUAUUUCUCACUUCUGUAUUUUCUCAAAAAUAAUUUUGUUACAGAGUUCAAUAUACUGUGUACCAUUGAUCUGCUAUUGUGAAAGCAAAGAAUUUCAUCAAAAUAUUUUAAAUUAUGAGUGAAAAUUGUGUAUGUUAAUUUUGCAGCUAUAAUAUUAAUCAAACUUUGUGUAAUUCUAAUCAUAAAAUGACGUGCCUUAAGUGCCCCUCCAGCUGUGGGUUGGCAGUGUCCAGACAGGGAGGGCCCAUCACCGAAAUCCUGAACGAUUACUAGACCAAUUCUAUUAAAAACAUUUCAAGGCAAAAAAAAAAAAAAAAGUGCAUGCAAUAUAAUUAAU